rnacentral:rRNA from 1 species
CCCCUAGAUGUUCUGGGCCGCACGCGCGCUACACUGAACAGUUCAACAAGUCUUAACCUUGGCCGAUAGGUCUGGGUAAUCUUUGAACGCUGUUCGUGAUUGGGAUAGACCUUUGCAAUUAUGGGUCUUCAACGAGGAAUUCCUAGUAAACGCAAGUCAUCAGCUUGCAUUGAUUACGUCCCUGCCCUUUGUACACACCGCCCGUCGCACCUACCGAUUGAAUGGUCCGGUGUAAUCUCGGGACGGCGGCUUGGUCGCUUGCGUCCGACUGCUGAAACUUGAUUAAACCAUAUCAUUUAGAGGAAGGUGAAGUCGUAACA